rnacentral:rRNA from 1 species
AUCCAGCCAUGCCGCGUGUGUGAAGAAGGUCUUCGGAUUGUAAAGCACUUUAAGUUGGGAGGAAGGGCCAUUACCUAAUACGUGAUGGUUUUGACGUUACCGACAGAAUAAGCACCGGCUAACUCUGUGCCAGCAGCCGCGGUAAUACAGAGGGUGCAAGCGUUAAUCGGAAUUACUGGGCGUAAAGCGCGCGUAGGUGGUUCGUUAAGUUGGAUGUGAAAGCCCCGGGCUCAACCUGGGAACUGCAUUCAAAACUGUCGAGCUAGAGUAUGGUAGAGGGUGGUGGAAUUUCCUGUGUAGCGGCGAAAUGCGUAGAUAUAGGAAGGAACACCAGUGGCGAAGGCGACCACCUGGACUGAUACUGACACUGAGGUGCGAAAGCGUGGGGAGCAAACAGGAAUAGAUACCCUGG